rnacentral:rRNA from 1 species
GACGAACGCUGGCGGCGUGCUUAACACAUGCAAGUCGAACGGAAAGGCCCUGCUUUUGUGGGGUGCUCGAGUGGCGAACGGGUGAGUAACACGUGAGUAACCUGCCCUUGACUUUGGGAUAACUUCAGGAAACUGGGGCUAAUACCGGAUAGAAGCUCCUGCUGCAUGGUGGGGGUUGGAAAGUUUCGGCGGUUGGGGCUGGACUCGCGGCUGAGCAGCUUGUUGGUGGGGUAGUGGCUUACCAAGGCGUUGAGGGGUAGCCGGCCUGAGAGGGGGAUCGGCCGCAAGGGGGGUGAGACGCGGACCAGGGGCCUGAGAGAGGCAGCAGUGGGGAAGGGGGGACAAUGGGGGGAAGCCUGAUCCAGUGGGGCCGCGUGCAGGAUGAAGGCCUGCGGGUUGGAAACGGGUUUUGUGGGUAACAAAAAGCCUCCGGUUAAGACAGGGGGGGCAUGACGGUACGGGAAAAAUAAGCACCGGCUAACUACGUG